rnacentral:tRNA from 1 species
GUCUUCGUGGUGUAGUGGUCAGCACGCUGGGCGCAUAUUCCAGAGGUCCGUGGUUCGAGUCCCGGCGAGAGCA